rnacentral:rRNA from 1 species
AUUGUUCGCAAUGGGCGCAAGCCUGACGACGCAACGCCGCGUGGAGGAUGAAGAUUUUCGGAUCGUAAACUCCUGUCGAAUGGGACGAAUAGAUUGCGGGUUAACAGCCCGCGAUUCUGACGGUACCGUUAAAGGAAACCCCGGCUAACUCCGUGCCAGCAGCCGCGGUAAUACGUAGGGUGCAAGCGUUGUCCGGAAUUAUUGGGCGUAAUGAGCUCGUAGGCGGCUUGCCACGUCGGCUGUGAAAACCCGGGGCUCAACCCCGGGCCUGCAGUCGAUACGGGCAGGCUAGAGUCCGGCAGGGGAGACUGGAAUUCCUGGUGUAGCGGUGAAAUGCGCAGAUAUCAGGAGGAACACCGGUGGCGAAGGCGGGUCUCUGGGCCGGUACUGACGCUAAGGAGCGAAAGCGUGGGGAGCGAAC